UUGUUAUUGUGUAAAUAUACCACUUACAUAUAUUUUGUUUGGUAUCAAAACUAUAUAAAGUUAGAUUAGUUUCCGAUAGUAAAUUAAUAACACAGGUUUACAAAUAAAAUUUUUUCAAGAGUUGUUAUUAACCAAAACAACUCUUGGUGGAUUAUUCCACGUAAUCUUUACUUUUUAGAAUGCGCUGAAUCCGAAAAUGACUUCCGUUUUGUCAUAGGUCAUCACGUUUUGUGACAGUCUCACCAAAAUAUAUGGAAAUUAGAUGAAAAUAGUCAAACAGCUUUUCAGUCGCAGACCUCUAAUAGAUAAUAUAGAAAUAAGACGUCAAUAUUUAAUAGAGAAGAACGUAAUCGUGCAAAUGCUAUGGUCGCUCGUAUUACAUAUAUCCGAUAUAUCUCCGAUAUAAGAUGAUAAAUUCUUGCAUUUACUUAAGGAAUCAUUUUAAUAAUCUUUCAUUAUGUAAUAGCGUUAUAAUAAACAAAUACACAAUAGU